UGGGGAAUAUUGCACAAUGGGCGCAAGCCUGAUGCAGCCAUGCCGCGUGUAUGAAGAAGGCCUUCGGGUUGUAAAGUACUUUCAGCGAGGAGGAAGGUGUUGUGGUUAAUAACUGCAGCAAUUGACGUUACUCGCAGAAGAAGCACCGGCUAACUCCGUGCCAGCAGCCGCGGUAAUACGGAGGGUGCAAGCGUUAAUCGGAAUUACUGGGCGUAAAGCGCACGCAGGCGGUCUGUCAAGUCGGAUGUGAAAUCCCCGGGCUCAACCUGGGAACUGCAUCCGAAACUGGCAGGCUAGAGUCUUGUAGAGGGGGGUAGAAUUCCAGGUGUAGCGGUGAAAUGCGUAGAGAUCUGGAGGAAUACCGGUGGCGAAGGCGGCCCCCUGGACAAAAGACUGACGCUCAGGUGCGAAAG
rnacentral:rRNA from 1 species